rnacentral:rRNA from 1 species
CCUACGGGGGGCUGCAGUGAGGAAUAUUGGUCAAUGGCCGCAGGGCUGAACCAGCCAAGUCGCGUGAGGGAUGACGGUCCUAUGGAUUGUAAACCUCUUUUGUCAGGGAGCAAAGGGCGCCACGUGUGGCGCUUUGCGAGUACCUGAAGAAAAAGCAUCGGCUAACUCCGUGCCAGCAGCCGCGGUAAUACGGAGGAUGCGAGCGUUAUCCGGAUUUAUUGGGUUUAAAGGGUGCGCAGGCGGAAUGUCAAGUCAGCGGUAAAAUUUCGGGGCUAAACCCCGUCGUGCCGUUGAAACUGGCGUUCUUGAGUGAGCGAGAAGUAUGCGGAAUGCGUGGUGUAGCGGUGAAAUGCAUAGAUAUCACGCAGAACUCCGAUUGCGAAGGCAGCAUACCGGCGCUCAACUGACGCUCAUGCACGAAAGCGUGGGUAUCGAACAGGAUUAGAUACCCCAGUAGUC